rnacentral:rRNA from 1 species
CCUACGGGUGUCAGCAGUGAGGAAUAUUGGUCAAUGGGCGCGAGCCUGAACCAGCCAAGUAGCGUGAAGGAUGACUGCCCUACGGGUUGUAAACUUCUUUUAUACAGGAAUAAAGUGCGGCACGUGUGCCUUUUUGUAUGUACUUUAUGAAUACGGAUCGGCUAAUUCCGUGCCAGCAGCAGCGGUAAUACGGAGGAGCUGAGCGUUAUCCGGAUUUAUUGGGUUUAAAGGGAGCGUAGAUGGGUUGUUAAGUCAGUUGUGAAAGUUUGCGGCUCAACCGUAAAAGUGCAAUUGAUACUGGCAUGCUUGAGUACAGGUGAGGUAGGCGGAAUUCGUGGUGUAGCGGUGAAAUGCUUAGAUAUCACGAAGAACUCCGAUUGCGAAGGCAGCUUACUGAACUGCCACUGACAUUGAUGCUCGAAAGUGUGGGUAGCAAACAGGAUUAGAUACCCGAGUAGUC